rnacentral:rRNA from 1 species
AGAGUUUGAUCAUGGCUCAGGACGAACGCUGGCGGCGUGCCUAAUACAUGCAAGUCGAGCGAGCGGAACCAGCAGAAUCACUUCGGUGAGGACGCUGGGAAAGUGAGCGGCGGAUGGGUGAGUAACACGUGGGGAACCUGCCCUUAAGUCUGGGAUACCACUUGGAAACAGGUGCUAAUACCGGAUAAGAAAGCAGUUCGCAUGAACAGCUUUUAAAAGGCGGCGCAAGCUGUCGCUAAAGGAUGGACCCGCGGUGCAUUAGCUAGUUGGUAAGGUAACGGCCUACCAAGGCAGUGAUGCAUAGCCGAGUUGAGAGACUGAUCGGCCACAUUGGGACUGAGACACGGCCCAAACUCCUACGGGAGGCAGCAGUAGGGAAUCUUCCACAAUGGACGAAAGUCUGACGGAGCAACGCCGCGUGAGUGAAGAAGGUUUUCGGAUCGUAAAACUCUGUUGUCGGAGAAGAACAAGUAGGAGAGUAACUGUUCCUACCUUGACGGUACCCGACCAGAAAGCCACGGCUAACUACGUGCCAGCAGCCGCGGUAAUACGUAGGUGGCAAGCGUUGUCCGGAUUUAUUGGGCGUAAAGCGAGCGCAGGUGGUUUCUUAAGUCUGAUGUGAAAGCCCACGGCUCAACCGUGGAAGGUCAUUGGAAACUGGGGAACUUGAAUGCAGAAGAGGAGAGUGGAAUUCCAUGUGUAGCGGUGAAAUGCGUAGAUAUAUGGAGGAACACCAGUGGCGAAGGCGACUCUCUGGUCUGUUAUUGACACUGAGGCUCGAAAGCGUGGGGAGCAAACAGGAUUAGAUACCCUGGUAGUCC